AGCAGCCGCGGUAAUUCCAGCUCCAAUAGCGUAUAUUAAAGUUGUUGCAGUUAAAAGCUCGUAGUUGAAUUUCGGGGUUAGUAGGUUGGUCAUGCCUCUGGUAUGUACUGGUCUCACUGAUUCCUCCUUCCUGAUGAACCGUAAUGCCAUUAAUUUGGUGUUGCGGGGAAUUUGGACUGUUACUUUGAAAGAAUUAGAGUGUUUAAAGCAAGCUAACGCUUGAAUACAUUAGCAUGGAAUAAUGAAAUAGGACGUUCGAUCCUAUUUUGUUGGUUUCUAGGAUUGACGUAAUGAUUAAUAGGGAUAGUUGGGGGCAUUAGUAUUCAAUUGUCAGAGGUGAAAUUCUUGGAUUUAUUGAAGACUAACUACUGCGAAAGCAUUUGCCAAGGAUGUUUACAUUAAUCAAGAACGAAAGUUAGGGAUCGAAGACGAUCAGAUACCGUCGUAGUCUUAACCAUAAACUAU
rnacentral:rRNA from 1 species